AAAAAAAAACAUGUCGUCGGCGAAAUCGGUGUCUGGUUGAAAUUUCGUUCUAUUGUGCAAAAUAUUAAAUAAAACGUCGCGAAUUGUGUCGGAAAUGUUAUACGCGAGUGGUUCAUAGGUAUUUUUUUAUUCGAGUUUUGCAUGGUUUCUUUUGAGAGUGUAUACUAAAGCACCAAACAUGACAGCUUUUGUUGAACUGAAACAUAAACAAAACUAUUUAAAGCCUUUUACAUAAAUAUAUGUAAGAAGUGUAUCUUCGUUGCGGUAGGAUUUGGUUGACCAAAGACCACUGCCCUGUGUAAUAAUAGUGAGUAUGCGUUAGAUUUGUUAUAAUAAUAAUAAUGAAUGGCGUACAGAGAUUCAAGAAUGAACGAAUAGCAAAUGCUGUUCGACGCCGGUAUCCAAAACGAUGUCAACAUCCCCAGGUAACCAUAAGCAUUAAAAUAAGCCAUACGUGCGACUAUAAGGCUACCACAGAGCUAACAAACUUCAUACUUGCUCUAUAAUAGCCCUAUAUAGCCGAAAAGGCGAAAUAAAGUGCUAAUGGUUACCUGGGUCGUACGAUGGGUUCCAGACGAGGACGACAUUCUGACUCAGGGAACGAACUAUGGCGUCGUUAACCAGUUUCUUCCAGCUGCAGAUUUUAUUGGUAGAGCCCAACUGUAAUCAUCUAGAAGUUUUCAACAAAUAAACUUCCAUUCAAAUGUUUCAAUCGAAGCGGACAGUACCCAACAUGAUUUUUGACAAGACAUCGUCGAUUAUGAAUAUUAAGUUGUGUCCGAGGGCUUCGGUGUUUUUUCUUAGAUCAUUCGAAAUAGAUUUUCAUUUAAUUCUAAUUAGAUUUUGAUUUCAUUUAUUUUAAAAAUUGAUAUAUAAUUACGUUUUAUAAUCUAGUAAACGGAAUUCAAAAUAAUAAUAUUUCUAAAUUUAAAGAAAUAUUUAUCAAAUAUUGAAAUAAUUAUUAAUUACUUUAUUAUUGAGAAUUAGGUACCAAACUAGAAUGUGACACUAUCAUUGUAAUUUUUGAUAAUAGGAAUUAUCGUUGUGUAUCUCACAAUAUAAAUGUAUAAAACAUCAGUUUAUAUAAUAUAUCUUUCUUAUAUUGAAAAAUUAUUGUUAACAGAAAUAUAGUUCAAAAUACAUCAGAAAAAAAUAUUGU